UGAGGCUUAGUUAAUUUUAUAAUCUUGGUCUGUCGGUCCGAAGUAAUAGGGGAGGUUCCUAUAGCCUUAU
rnacentral:tRNA from 1 species